CCUACGGGGGGCAGCAGUGGGGAAUAUUGCACAAUGGGGGAAACCCUGAUGCAGCAACGCCGCGUGAAGGAAGACUGCUCUCGGAUUGUAAACUUUUGUUUUUAGUGAAGAAUAAUGACGGUAGCUAAGGAGCAAGCCACGGCUAACUACGUGCCAGCAGCCGCGGUAAUACGUAGGUGGCAAGCGUUGUCCGGAAUUACUGGGUGUAAAGGGAGCGCAGGCGGGAAGCCAAGUCAGGUGUGAAAACUACGGGCUUAACUUUUAGACUGCAGUUGAAACUGGUUGUCUUGAGUGAAGUAGAGGUGGGCGGAAUUCGGGGUGUAGCGGUGAAAUGCGUAGAUAUUACGAAGAACACCGAUGGCGAAGGCAGCCAACUGGACUUUAACUGACGCUGAGGCUCGAAAGUGUGGGGAGCAAACAGGAUUAGAUACCCUGGUAGUC
rnacentral:rRNA from 1 species